rnacentral:rRNA from 1 species
UACGUAGGGGGCGAGCGUUAUCCGGAUUCACUGGGUGUAAAGGGAGCGUAGACGGCCAUGCAAGCCAGGGGUGAAAGCCCGGGGCCCAACCCCGGGACUGCCCUUGGAACUGCAUGGCUGGAGUGCGGGAGGGGCAGGCGGAAUUCCUGGUGUAGCGGUGAAAUGCGUAGAUAUCAGGAGGAACACCGGUGGCGAAAGCGGCUCUCUGGCCUGUAACUGACACUGAGGCUCGAAAGCGUGGGGAGCAAACAGG